rnacentral:tRNA from 1 species
GGCAAGGUGUCCGAGUGGUUAUGGAGCUGCGUUUAGGCCGCAGUGGCUUUGCCUCGUGGGUUCGAAUCCCACCCGUAAGUUU